UGCCAGCAGCCGCGGUAAUACGAAGGGCCCGAGCGUUAAUCGGAAUCACUGGGCUUAAAGCGUACGUAGGCGGACCUGCAGGCGUCUUGUGAAAUCCCUCCGCUCAACGGAGGAAUUGCUUGGCGAACCGCAGGUCUUGAGACAGGUAGGGGUUGUCGGAACGAUAGGUGGAGCGGUGAAAUGCGUAGAUAUCUAUCGGAACGCCGAAGGAGAAAUCAGGCAACUGGGCCUGUUCUGACGCUGAGGUACGAAAGCGUGGGGAGCGAACGGGAUUAGAUA
rnacentral:rRNA from 1 species